GAGGACUUUACUCAGGGAGCUUAAAUAUAGU
rnacentral:piRNA from 1 species